rnacentral:misc_RNA from 1 species
AUCAUUUGAUGCUUUCUUAGAGGCAUAGAUAUUUUAGUAAGGUUUAGUAUUGUAAAAUUGCAACUAUCAUGCUUAUUCAAUUAAGCCUUCGAUGUUGAAGUACUUGUACCAUAAGCAGUUAAUUGGGAAAAGCCUUACUGAAAAGUGAUGAUGUUCAAUAUGUUGGUUUAAAUCAUCUUUGGAAAGAAUUUUUGCAGAGAGGGGAAAUAGAACCCCUUUAUGACAGCAACACUCUGCAUAUGUAUGUGGUUGUAUCAUGCGUAAACAAUUUGAUGAAACGGAGCAACUAUGAUCUUGAGGAGGCUUGGGGGAAGCUUUAAGACUAUCUCAUUUGAAGUAAGGCUGUGUUCUGUAGGA